GGGAAGAGGUUAGCACGGAUGGUGGCAGGAUGGAGUGCAGAAACAAAGAAGCAAAUUCCUCAGGGCUACUAAUAAAACCAAGUUAAUGUCACAGUGUAAGGCUUGGCUCUUAUCCUGCUUUCAUAUCAGGCUGCGAAUAAUGUGAUUAUGCAAUUGGAUUUCCUGUGGAUCAUGCAAAGAGAUAAAUGAUGGUCCUGUUUGUGUAC
rnacentral:lncRNA from 1 species